AUGAAGUAAAAUAUGCAGCUUCCGCCAGACCGUCUUCUGUAUUCAACGUAUGAAGAAAGUGUAAACUGGCGUCAUGUCAGUUACACUUUUUCCGUAAGUUGAAUAGGGUAGGCGUAGGACGUAGCAUAAGCUUUGUGAACUGCAAGAGUUUUACAAUUUCUGCGUAACUUCAAUACGGAAGGCGGCUAGUGCGGAAGCAAGAUAUUUAACUUCAUAACUUGUUAAAUAUGGAUUUUUUUUUACACAAACACAUCGCUUUGCUUCAGAAGGCCUUUAUUAACCCCCCCGGUUAAUUUUGUUUUGGCUGUACAGCAGCUCUAGAAGAAAAUGGUGUCAUUGUCAAGCUUAAGCAAGUUCAGUGUUGAUUCAUUAUGUUGUAAAAAUCAUUAGUUAUUAAUUUAGUUCAUUUAUCUAUACAACAGCUCUAGAGAAAACAGUGAUGUCAUCGUCCAGCUCAGUUCUGUUCGCAUACAAUGGUGUCAAUGCAGGCAGAUCAAAACAUUGUUGAAUAUCAAGUGUCCCCAACUAAGCAAGCCAGAGGUGACAGCGGCAAGGAACCCAAACUCCAACAGAACAACCUCCUUGACAACCACCAGUCUGGCUUCAAGAGUGGCCACUCAACUGAGACUGCCUUGCUCUCAGUCAUUGAAGCCCUGCGACUGGCACGAGCAACUUCAAAAUCAUCAGUACUCAUCUUGCUGGAUCUGUCUGCUGCUUUUGACACAGUUACCACCAGAUCCUCCUGUCAACACUCAUGUCGAAGGUCAUCUCAGGAACUGCACUCCAGUAGUUCAAGUCUUACCUCUCAGAUGAUCCCACGGUUGCUGGUCGCAUCGCAGCCUGCCUGACAGCCAUUUCUGCCUGGAUGAAGGACCACCACCUUCAACUCAACCUUGCAAAAACGGAACUGCUUGUGGUCGGUGCCAAUCCAACACUUCAUCAUAACCUUUCAAUUCAACUUGGGUCGUCAACCAUUACUGCUUCCAGGACAGCCAGGAACCUUGGAGUGGUGAUGGAUGAUUGUUUAAGCUUCACAGAUCACAUCGCUACAACGGCCCAGUCCUGCAGAUUUGCCUUGUACAACAUUAGGAAGAUUAGAUCCUUCCUAUCGGAGCAUUCCACACAAAUUCUUGUCCAAGACUGGACUAUCCAGACUGGACUAUUGUAAUGCUCUCUUGGCAGGCCUUCCAGCAUGCACUGUCAAGCCUCUACAACUGAUCCAGAAUGCUGCAGCAAGACUGGUCUUUAACGAACUGAAGAGAGCGCAUGUCACACCUCUCUUCAUCAGUUUGCAUUGGCUGCCAAUAGCUUCUUGCAUCCAAUUUAAGGCUCUGAUGAUUGCCUACAGAACAACCACUGGCUCUGCACCACUAUACCUAAACUCACUACUUCAGACUUGUGAACGGCGCCUUGUGGUGCCAUCCCAAAGGGGCACAAAAUCACUCUCACGGACCUUCUCCGGGUCUGUUCCUGGCUGGUGGAAUGACCUACCACGCUCUAUCCGAGCAGCGGAGUCUUUAGCCAUUUUCAAAAAACUGCUAAAGACACUUCUGGGUUAACACUUGACCCAGUAAUAGUAACACUUACUUUUUAUUUUUAUUAUCUUUCUUUUCUUUGAUUUCUACUCUUUUUCCAUCUAUUUGUGUAUUUAAAAAAAAAAAAAAAAAAAAAAUCCUUGCUACGAGCACUUUACUGAUUAAACUGUGACUUGACACAGCACUUACAUACUGUCGUACUCAUGUUGAUUUGAUUGCUUCUACUAUUCUCAUUUGUAAGUCGCUUUGGAGAAAAGCAUCUGCUAAAUGACUAAAUGUAAAUGUAAAUGCAAUGGCUGGACAUCCUGAACAUAUUAUAUGCAAUAACAGACA